ACGAUCGGUCGGAACCAUCAAAACGGCAUGACGAGCAACCUCAAAAUAGCGCGACUCAUACUGUAACAUAGUCAUAUCUCCCUGUCGCAGCCACUCAAACUGUCUACGCAACUCCUAUCUGCGGGACUGCGGUACAUACUUUUCCAAGAAGAGAGUCGAGAACAACUGCCAAGUAAGGGGCGCUGCACCAGCCGGCCUACGCCUCUUAUACGCCUCCCACCAAGUGAAGGCAGCCCCAGUAAACUAAUAGGUGGUAAAUGCCACACCACUAGUCUCAAGAAUCCCUGCUGUGCAGAGUAUCCUUUGACACUUAUCUCGAAAGCCCUGGGAAUCCUUGCCCUCAGCACCACUGAAUGACGGAAGCUGGAGUCUACCAAACCUCUCAAGACGACGCUGCUCUUCAUCCAGUAUAACUGGUACCAUAAACUCUUGAACCGGUGCAACCGGCUGGGCUGGGGGUACCUCCGGUGUCUGUAGUUCCUGCACUAAAUGCUCAGGUCUACGAGCGGUGGGGGUAUGAUUGCGUCCCCUGACUUAUAUAGUAGUUGUUGUUGUGGUGGUUGAAACUGCCUGAGCUGGGCCAGUGC
rnacentral:lncRNA from 1 species